rnacentral:rRNA from 1 species
AAUCUUGCGCAAUGGGAGCAAUCCUGACGCAGCGACGCCGCGUGGGGGAGGAAGGGCUUCGGCUCGUAAACCCCUGUUGCCCGGGGCGAACCUCUGGUUUCGACCAGACUGACGGUACCGGGUGAGGAAGAACCGGCUAACUCCGUGCCAGCAGCCGCGGUAAUACAGAGGGUGCGAGCGUUGUCCGGAAUCACUGGGCGUAAAGGGCGCGUAGGCGGCUUGGUAAGUAGGGGGUGAAAUCUCACGGCUCAACCGUGAGGCUGCCUUCUAGACUGCCGAGCUUGAGCACAGUAGAGGCUGGUGGAAUUCCCGGUGUAGCGGUGGAAUGCGUAGAGAUCGGGAAGAACAUCUGUGGCGAAGGCGGCCAGCUGGGCUGUUGCUGACGCUGAUGCGCGACAGCGUGGGGAGCAAAC